AGAGAUCGCCAUGAUGGGGAAGAAGGAAGAGGAGACCUAAAGGCCAGCUGACAGCAGGACUUUGGGUCCCUAACCUGCAACUCAGCACUCAGUCCAUCAUGGGCUUUGCUAGUCUCUGUGACUUCUCCAGGGCAGGAAAGUGACAGGUUUCUGCGCAAGGGAGCCCGAGGUACCUGGUUCAGGAUGGAGAGGGCACUUGAGAGGCGUCAAAAGCAAGCACAGUUAGAGGACAUCAGCGAUGUUAAAACCCCACGAGGGUCAACAGUAGCCCAGGCAAAAUAAAGGAGCCUGAAGUGGAAAAACAGAAAUGGAACAAGACGUUUGUUCUGGAGCACGUGAGAUUGUCCUUCUAAGACAUUUCCAGAAGUAUUCAAAGGAAGAUUUAAUGGGAAAUCAUUAUGCAAAAGAGUCAGUAAUAUAUUUUAGUUUCAAAAAGUACGGAGCGUGACGCCUGUCAAUUAUACCUUCUGCAAAGGUGAGUGGCGGUUGUCCUUGCUGUUCCAAAAUGCAAAGAGAAACAAACAAACAAACAAACAAGCAAACCAGCUACUCCUAUUCCGCACUCCAAACACCAAGCAGAAAUGCUUCUGGGACAAACUGAGCUUCAUUCUUUAUGAAAAUGAAAACACUUCUUUCUGUGCACUAGGAAAAUGUUCUGCCUCUGAGCUGCAAAACCAGCACCAAACUUGAAAAGUUUGUGCAUCAAAGGAAAAAGGCAACCUACAGGAUGGGGGAGAAUAUUUGCAGGACACAUGUCCUGGAAGGAAUACAUAUUUAGACUGAAUAAAAUGAGUAAGAGGAGGGAUAGGGAGUUCGUGUUCAAUGUUGAGAGCUUGGGACAGUUGAGAAAACGCUCCGGAGUGUUCUGCAGAUGAAUGAUGGUGACGACUGCAUCAGUGUGAAUGUCCUUAACGCCGUCAAAAAUUGGUUAUAAUGGCAAAUUUUAUGCUACAUAUGUUUUACUACAAUAAAAAUGCCAGGAAAAUUCUGCCGCCAGUGCCAUUAUGGCAUGUAAAGUCACCACCCUGGCACAUGAAUCCUGGAAUAAUUCUGUGAAAGGAGGAACCCUUCUAGUAAAAUCCUUUCUCUCCAGUGCUCAGAGCAUGAAAGUUUCCCGCUGUCUUUGGAACUUUGUCUGCAAACAGCUGGAAGGAGACUCUUCAAGGGCUCGUCAUCGGCCGUGAUGUCAGAGAACACGGUGGGGUCGACUGUGGCUACAGCAAGAGGUCCCUGCUGCUGUCUGCUGAAAAUGAUAACAUGUAGAAAGAUGAAAUAAAUAUAGAGUUAAAACAUUAGCCAAUGGGAUACAGUUUUUUAAACUUAUUCAACUUGUGCUGAGAUAAUGACCAGCAGCGGUUAAAUUAGAAGAACUGAGAGAGAGUGAAGACAGAAAUAAAUAACAAAAGUGGUAAACUGAUCAGUAGUUACAGUGCUUUCUCAAA
rnacentral:lncRNA from 1 species